CUAGUGUUAAGAGUUUUUUGGGUUUCUUUCCAAACAAGUGUUGGCACAUCCCCCUAUGGAAGGAAACACAGUGCGGUGCUAAGAUUCUAGGCUCUGGAGCCAGCCUGCCUGGUUCCGAUGAUCACUCUUAGUCCCCACUAGCUUUGUGAGCUUACCCUGGUUAUAUAACCUCCCUAUGCCUCAGUUUUCCUAUAUGUAAAAUGGACUUCCACCCCGUAGGGUUCUUAUGAGGAUUAAAUGAGGUAAUAUAAGGAAGCACUCCAAGAGCCUGGCAUAUAGCAUUAUUUUUAUAGAGAAUCCCUUAAAAAAAUGAUAAAGAAGGAUAUUAUAAUACUGCUUUGCAGCAUGACUUUUCUCACUUACUAAAGAAUCUUGCACAUCUUUCCACAUCAGUAACCAUAAAUCUACCUCAUUGCUUUUGAUGCUGCGUGGCGCUGUAUGGUAUGGAUGUACUGUAAUUUAUUUAACCACUCUCCUAUUUAUGGGCGUUUAGGUUUUUCCAGUUUUUCACUCCUACAAACAAUCCUGCAGUGGCUAUCUCUGUGUACUUUAAGUGUUUCUGUAAGGCAAACUCCUACAAAUCUCAUUUCUGGUAUAAGAGAGAGUCCUACCAUAGAUUUACUGUUUUCUUCUUUUUCAGGGAAAGCAUCCGGCAGCUGUGCUCGCCCUGAAGCACAUCUCCAGGGGCACAUCUUAAAUCUGCAGCUGUGCACAGGCUGCUCUGCCAUGAAUCAAAGGGAAGUGGCUCUGAGAGACCUGAGAAAACAGCUGAGCCUGAGGCACCUGGGUGGGGCCCUCUGGUCUGGCUGGAACACAGGAGCUCACGGAUUGUUAAGGAACCACUGGUAUCUAGAAGAGGGUCUGACACCAGCCACUUUGGUAGGGGCCAGAUCUGUCACCACACUCUGGGCACUGCCUCCCCGACUUGCAAACCCUCUGGGGCACAUUUCCACCGGUGCUAGAAGCUCCCCAACUCCCAGCCUCUGA
rnacentral:lncRNA from 1 species